CUUCUAUUUCGCGGGGGUGGAGUCGGUGGGAGGGAGGGGAGGCGGGCCUCAUUUCUGGGACACCAUGUCCGAGUCUGAGGAGAGCCUGGACCGGCAACUGAAAAUCGUCGUGCUGGGGGACGGCACCUCCGGGAAGACCUCCUUAGCUACCUGUUUUGCUCAAGAAACUUUUGGGAAACAGUACAAACUAUUGGAUUGGAUUUCUUUUUGACAAGAAUAACAUUGCCAGGAAGCUUGAAUGUUACUCUUCAAAUCUGGGACAUAGGAGGGCAGACAAUAGAAGGCAGGAUGUUGGAUAAAUAUAUCUAUGGAGCACAGGGAGUCCUCUUGGUAUAUGAUGUUACAAAUUAUCAAAGCUUUGAGAAUUUAGAAGAUUGGUAUUCUGUGGUGAAGAAAGUGAGUGAGGAGUCAGAAACUCAGCCCCUGGUUGCCUUGGUGGGCAAUAAAAUUGAUUUGGAGCAUAUGCGAACAGUAAAACCUGAAAAACACUUAAGAUUUUGCCAGGAAAAUGGUUUUAGUAGCCACUUUGUCUCAGCAAAGACAGGAGACUCUGUCUUCCUGUGUUUUCAGAAAGUUGCUGCUGAAAUCCUUGGAUUCAAGUUAAAGCAGAAAUAGAACAAUCACAGAGAGUGGUGAAGGCAGAUAUUGUAAACUACAACCAGGAACCCAUGUCAAGAACUGUUAACCCUACUAGAAGCUCUAUGUGUGCAGUUCAGUGAGCACAUUUUUCUUUUGUAUUGAUAGUUCUGACUGCCCUUCACCUCUGUGUGGGCCCCAGGGAGCUCUAGGAACUUGUUUUAUCAGUGACCAUCUCUGUAGUUCAGUUAACACUUUCUGCUCAACUUGCUUCAUCAUUGCUUGUUGCCUCAGCCACAGGACUUGGACUGGAAAGAAUUCAACUUCGGGACCACACACUUUGAAUUCAGCUUGGAAAGCCCAUUCUCUGGAAUCAGACUGCUCCAUUGAGAAAGAAUAAUGUUGGCUCUCUUAUGGCCUCACUUCUUUUGUCUGUGAUGUAAAUUUUUUUUUUAAACAAAUAUGAAAACUAUCCAGGUCUUGAUCAUCAGCCAGGAUUUUGCUGCAGCACAGUUUCAUUCUCUUAUCUGAACUCAUACCUGGCAAAGUAUGCUUCAGAGUGCAAACAUCUGAAUGAGUCAUAUAUUUUAUCUACUGAUACUUAAGAAAGGAUGCUUUUGCUAUCUCUUGUGAGUAAAAAUAUAUAAAGCGGUAUCUAACUGAAAAUGCUUGAAAUAAAGCUGUAAUAGAAAAAAAAAAGUGAAAGAGGAGAGUGAAAAAGCUUACUUAAAACUCAACAUUCAAAAAACUAAG